rnacentral:tmRNA from 1 species
AUGUAGUGCCGAGGAUGUAGGAAUUUCGGACGCGGGUUCAACUCCCGCCAGCUCCACCA